rnacentral:ncRNA from 1 species
UGAAAACCAAUGACCGGGAAGAGUAGAUAUCAGCGUUUAGUCAAAGCGAGCUCGGGAGGGUGGAAGCCGAGUACUGUAGCUGAUAUUGAAUGGGCCCGUGAGGUGAGAUGCGAACUUUAAGUAGCAGUAUCCGGUAGUCUACCGUUAAAAAGACAGGGUAUCGAGGAAUUUCCGUACCCGAAAGAGUGGUCCUGUGUUAAAAAGGUGGCACAAGCGAGCAUUUCGCCCUUUUGGUGAAAUGCUUUUUUUUUUUAGUAAUACAGGACAAAUUGGGUGGCACCGCGAGUCACUUCGCCCCAAUG